AACGCACCUUGCGCUCCUUGGUAUUCCGAGGAGCAUGCCUGUUUGAGUGUCAUUAAAUUCUCAACUAUUAUCAGCUUUUGCUGAUGAUGGCUUGGAUAUGGGGGUUUAUUUUGCUGGCUUCUUCACAGAUUGUCAGCUCCCCUUAAAUGCAUUAGCCGGUGCCCCGCGUGGACUGUCUAUUGGUGUGAUAAUUAUCUACGCCGUGGACAUCUACAAUCAUAUGCGUUUGCACUGCUUCCAACCGUCUGUUUAUUCAGACAAUACAUGACAAUUUGACCUCAAAUCAGGUAGGACUACCCGCUGAACUUAA
rnacentral:misc_RNA from 1 species